CUUCAUAUGAAACUGCUCCCCAGCUUGGAUCAGUCUGUCCAAAGACAUCACUUGGGUUCUUACUUGGGAAACGGCUGACAGGAGAAAAUGCUUCAGUACUGUGCUCUGCGGGUGCUUCGAACUGCGCUCAUCUUGACAGCAAGAAAUCUGCAGUUCUGGAAUAAUGUCCCUGAAUCGCUAUUGUACAGGAAAUAAUUACAGAUGUAUGCAACCAUAUAAUGGAGACAUGCACAGAUCAGCAUAUAUUAAUGCAGACCAGGCCUUUACUCUGACACAGGAAGAAAGCUCAUCAGUUCCUCCUUCCUCAGCAUCUUGUUUCUGUGUGGCCAAUGAAAGAGUACAAAUAGGCAAGAAUUGGUGAUAUUUUCCAGAUGUAAACCCAUGAUCCCCAGGGAUCUGUCAUCAUGUUCAGUGGAAAUGGAGCCGGUCAAUACAGGCUCUUGACUGAAGGAAUGGCAGGCUCAGAGUCUUCUCUCCAGGGAAUUUUUUUGUGAGUCUGGCUGCUGAUUGAAAGUCCUCCAGAUUGCUCCUGUGUUUCCUUGACAAGGAAAGAAGACUGUUGGUGAUUUUUCCCACUGGUAGUGAAAGGCAAAAAUUCUGCUGUUCAUGUUAAUGUGGCAUCACAACUUAUUCUGCAAGUAUUGUCACAGAAAGUAUUGAUACUGGUUUUGGUAGGCUCAAUAAAAAUAAAGCGAAUUCUGAACAUAUAGAUCUGUAGGAAUGCUUCUCCCGUUAGGGCUAUGGCAGGGAUCUUAUACACUGCACUGAUUGCCCUUCAGGCAGAAACAUCCCUUUCUUCACCUAGCUCAUGAAUCUCACCACUCUCACUUGCUUCUUCUGCGGGGGAUGAAACUUAUUUUAUUAUCCUGGAUGCAGAUAUCCUGUUUCAGCAUUUUUGUAUUUUACAACUUGUAGGUGCCGAGCCCUUCCCGGUGAAGCGUCACACUGAGGGUGCCGAUCUUGCGUACCAUCACCUCCACGGUCCUGCCGAGACAGGAACGAUGUCUCUCUGUACUCUGGAGUCAGUGCCGAAAGUCACACUAUUGCAGUUGCUAGAAGAGGAAGAGGAUUUCCUUUGGCUAUUUUUGAAGAAAGGAAUAACAUCUGAACCAUGGCUAUUCACUGAUCAGGCUCUGAUCUCCAAUAGUAGUUUGAUGUUCAGAUCUUCAAAAUAGUCUUUACUCAGUAACUCUAGUCGUAUAGUUUGCGCUGCUUUGCUUCUCAGUUUUGUGUAUCUUCCCAGUGAGUUCCUCACUAGAUUUUGAGUCUGUUUGUGAUAGAAGCCAGGAAAAUUUGGCACAAUAAGCUACCUAUUUUUAAUUUUUCUGAAGACAACUAGCCCCAUUCCAUAUGUACAGCCUGCCAACAUCUCUCAUUAUUCUCUUUGUUAAACAAUCUUGAAUGGCAUCUUUCUCAUUCCAAGCAAGCUGUGAAGCAGCCUCUUCCCUGGAUAAUGCUUCUCUGGUCUGGCUCAACUUCUUGAAGUUAUUUUCAUAUCCUGUGCAAAGUGCCACUCUACUUACAGGGGCAGAUUCCAAGAAAUGGAGAGGUUUAAGCUUACAUAUUUUAGUGGCCAAAUAGUAUGGUUGGCCCACUCAUUCUACUGGUACACAGUGACCUGUUAAGCCGUGGUAAGUUAGUUGUGUUUCUGACCUCUCAGUCCUGUCCUUCAACUGCCUUCAAAGGUGCAGCCUUCCUUCUUUGUUCAACCUUGCCACUUGACUGUUUCAUCAACGUAUAAAUGAACUUUUUCUGAGGACUUUCGCUCAGUUCUCUGCACAAACAACUGGCAUCAUGAAAGCUCCAGGCAAAGAGCUACACCUAGAUGAGACACCCUACCAGUCAAGGCCAGGCCCUUUUACCCAUUUUAGAGAUGAUGAAAUGAAGACAUCUGCCUAACUUGGUUCAUAAAUGAGAAGUUCUGCUUCCAUUUCUUCCUGCUUUCUCCAAAAAGAGGGGUCAUACAGUGGUCUCUUCACAUAUUCCAUUGUCUACGUGGAGAAAACGGUAAGAAGGGGGAAAUGUGGACAUGAUAAACAAGAAUUCCAGCUCUAACAUGGGGAAUGGAAUAGCCUUAGGUGACAACAAGAAACAGGUUUACUCAUCAUCUUUACCACCAGCAACAGGGAAUGCAGAAAAUUUCUGAGAUUUUAUUAUCUUUCCUAUAAAGCUUUUCUGAGAAUUGCUGCCUUCCAUGAAGCCACUGAAGGAAUGAAAGUAGGAGCCAGGGACUACAGGGAGGUCCAAUCCCACCAUGACGGUGAGCACGUUCCCCAGGGAGCCUCAGAUUUAAUCCCUGCUUUAAUUCUGCGGCGGUUCCAGGGACACAUCAGCUGGGAUAUUUAAGACUUCCUCCAGUUUUCUUCCUGUGUGCUAUUCCUUAGGGAUUGCCUGAAUGUAGUCUAAAGCCAUGCAACUUCUGCUGUGUAACCUAAGGAACAGAUCUGAAGUGCUUCCGAUGACCAGUAAACGUUUUUUCCUUUACACCUACCCGCCCGUUAUAUCCUCCAUGGGGCUGUUUUAUUUGAUCUCAGCUUUUCCAGCUGUGCAAAUUUUUCUGCAUUAUGUUCCUAUUCCUCCUCGCUCUUGAUGGGUCAGCAGCACUUUAUAAUGAUAAUCCUGGCCUGUCACUGACUUUUCAAAGUGCUACAGUCAGCAGGUUACUCCAGCAGAAACCUCCUCUCCUCCCCGCUGAGCAGAACUGCCCCAAAGCUUGAUCCAGCCUUUGAAUAUCAAAGACAUGAGGAUCCUACGGCUGGACUCUAGCCCAAGUCCCUUCAAUAACAGCACAGCAUGAGCCCAGAUGAGCUGUCAAGCUGGCUGAUGAUACUGUUUUAAAUUCAUGAUAAUAUAUUUUUCUAAUUUAAUCUCUGAAAUGAAAGUGCACAUUUCAGCUCAUCAUUUCCAACUUAUCUUCUGUUUCCUUUCAGCUUUUCAGUGUUUCUGAAAUGCCUUAUGCUACAGGCAAAACACACUGAUUAUGAUGGGGCUUUUCUUUUAGCAGCUGCCACUGAGCAGUGUCACACAUGGAGAAAAUGGAAAGUCGUCUCUGCCCAGUUGUGUCAAGCAUUUAAAAAGAAGAAAGUAAAAAGAACGCAUGGGAAGAAACAGGUGGCAACUGUUGCUGUUGAAUCCUCCUUCAAGGAAGAGUACGGGAGGGAUUUUUUUAAGAAUUUAAACACAGUGACUCUCCACAAGGUAUAUGGUGGCUGCACAGGACCAGUGCCCUUUGUGAGGACGCUCCUAUCUCCACGUGAAAGCGAGAGAGACAGGAAUCUCACUCCAGAAGGUCUCAGCACAGGAGGAAACAGCAGAGAUAAAAAUGAAGUGGAAGAACACAGAACCUCAAGCUAUUAAGUGAGCGGGAGAUUGACAGCCAGUCGUGCGUGCAUCACACCACCAGCCUGCUCUUCAAGUCUCAGCCGUAAGGAUGAGUUCAUGUUCGUAAGACAGAAGAGCUGGAUAGAAGAGAGAAAGAACAUGCCAAAAAUCCACAUUGAAAAAAUCAGUCAUAAGGCAUUUUGCAAAAGUGCUGCUUUGAUGAAAGCUACUGCAGUUCAGUAUUUCCACCAGGAGUGUGCGUGCGGGAGUGGAGGAGAGAAGGGGACAGGUGCCACUUUUCGGUGGCAACCAGCAGUAUAUUGGCUCAGCUGUUUCAUCAGCUCUAUCCAAAAUAUGCAAAGAGGCAAGGUUAAAUCACCGCGUGUCCUUUCUCAAUGGCACUCCCUUUCUAACUCAGAUACUUGGUCCUUGUCACUGCAGUACCGCAGGUGUUGCCUUCUUGGUCCAUAUGCCUGAAACCGAACCACCCAAGACAACAGCCAGCGGUAAAAUGCCGUUCAUGACUAACUUCCCACAGUGGUCAGCUCAAGAGAUACAAAGAUGCCUGCAAUCCACAAGACACACGGAAGCACAAUUUCUGUGACACGAAAAAAAAGUGGAAGAUGAUUUAUCACGAUCUAAUUGGCAUUUGAAAGAGCUCAUCACCACCUUUUGAAGAGGAAGUCCCCAGGGAAACGUAGGAAAAGUGUACUCCUGAGGUCAGCCUGACAUUUGUCAUCCCAUGUGUGGGAAAACAUUUUCCUUGAAAAGAAGACGUUGGAGUCAUGAGGACUUGGAAGCAGAAUGGGGAGAGCCUCUACAGUGCUGGUAGCGCUGGCAUUGCAGGAGAAUGGGGAGACCGCAACGGAGACGCAGGCUGCCUCGACCCUGCGCAGAUACAUGAGGAAGGAUGGCCUCUGCCUCCCCAAGCGCAGCCGGAGCAGGUGGAGCAGGGAAAUCAAGGCUUAGCAGCACUUCUUUACCAAAGAGAAACCCCAGCAGAGAAGCAGUAAGUGCUCUUGUUUGCACAGGCAGUGUGCAACUCUCAUCUCCAAAGUGCUGCUGCAGUGCCUUGCACACAAACUCAUCCUUUCUGUCAGUUUGUUUUACUUUAAUGAGUGCGGAAUGGGAACGCUCCCUGUUUUUUCUCUCCCUUAGAAUUUGUAUUGCACUUCAUUAGGAACAGAUUUUGUGUGUCUAUAGUACCGUCCUGGACAAAGUGGUUCUCACUGCAUACUUGUCAUUUUUUGAUUGUGUUAUUCUUUUUAUACCAUUAUCAACUUCUAGAAGUGUCUAUAAAAAUAGGUGUAGGAAAGGAAAAGUCUUCAAAGUAAAUGGACAUUGUGUUAAAUGAAUUAUGUCUUUGGUGCUAUUAUCUCUAAAUCAGCAUAGAUUAUUCAGACUAGGGGCUUUUAGAAUCAUAAGUGGUUGAGAUCAUUUCUCAGUUCAUCAUCCCAUUACCCGUAAUGAGAAAAUACUUCUAAAUAUGAAGAUUACUCUUCCAAAAGAUCCCUUGUGGCGAAUGAUUCCCCAGGCACUAACAAUAUUUAUUAACUCUUUUCUUUCUGCAUGGCAAGGACUUGAGAGAAAAAUAGAAGUCCUGAAGGAUUACCUUGAAACAUUCAGCAACUCUAAAUUUAAUAUUCCUCUCCUGGGACGCCUUUGGUUCUGCACUCCUGUAUCUAGCAGUGUUCUCUCAGUUUCCACCUCCGUGGCUGCUUUUUUACAGUAUGUAAAUUCAGCUGCCGGUGCUGAACCUGGAAUGCGAUAAAGCAUUUUAAAACUUCAUUUCAUUAUUUUUGACUGGUUUUGUUUAUGCUGGUUUUACGUUUCCAUUUCAUCAAGCCCAAGCUUUAUUGUUUCUCUAGCCAAUGAUUUCUGCUUGCAAGCUUGAUAAAAUGACAGGCCCCCCUUGCUCACCCAAAAUGGGGAAGAUCCUCAGCAUACGCAUGAUUAAGCUUCCUUGUCAUCCCUUUAUUUUUUCGUGCUGUCGCUGACUCGUUUUCUCAUUGUAUGAGUAGAAUUAUUAGCCUUAUUUAUUGGGCUGCACGUUUCUAGGAAUCUAUUUAACGCAUAGUUUCAUGAGACGGUUUUCAUGGAAUAUAAGCUUCAUAUUUCAGCUCUUGCGUAUAAGAUUCCUUUUACCCUGUGUUCCACUGAAAAAUACCUUCUUUUUCUGCAGGGCAAGGUGAGGUGUUAAUGUACCACACCUACAAACAAAUCCCAUUGGAAAGAAAGCUUCUGCUCUUGCUGAAUUUGGUACCGUGGGAUUUCUUGGGAAAAGGUUCGGUUCUGUGGUUAAAGGGGUGAGCAGGUGUCAAGGGCCUCCACGCAGUCUUCCUGCAUGUCCCUCCCUCCAUCACUUAACAUCCGCUUUUGCUAACUAUAAUCACCGAUAAUGUCCAUUUACUCAGGUAGUAUUAAUAAGAACAGCUACAAGAAGGUCAAAUUCUGGCUUAACUGUAAAUGACUGGGCAUCACAGAGGAGGUUUUGCGAGAGCUUAUGCAAUAUAAGUAGAGUCUGCCGUGCAAUGAAGAGCACUUCCAAAAUUACCAUGCUAAUGUUUAUCACAUUGGUGCAGUAUUUUCAUUUGUGUAAAGCAGUACUUAUGUGAACUGAACAUGAAAUAUCUUUCCCUUUUACAGCAGUGGAUGAAAGAAAUGCAAAUGUACGUCUUGUUCUACGCGACCUGUUAGACUUUGUGUGUAACACAUACAAAGAGCAAUUACCGCUUCCCAGCUUUGGCUAGCUUUGCUAUUGUUUUGUAACUCUUUCUUUUAAUGAAAAACUACCUCAGCUGGUCUAAUUAUUUGCUGCAAUUUGCUUGGUGGUGUUUUUUUCAGUGAGAGAUAUAUCUGUAAGGAGCACACAAUAUUUGUAAAUAAAUGUGUUGUUUCAGAGUUGUUUGAAUGACCUUAGGAGCAAAUGUCAGUCUGACUGUUGACAAACUGAUUUUUUUUGUGACGGGUUAUGUUAGAAACUUUUUUUAUAACAUCACAAAAGUGGAACGAGUCUCUUGUUCAUCAUGUCAUCAUUUACUGUAAUCAUUUACUCAUAUAAAAAUUGGGUAGCAAGAACUUUCAGAAAAGGACG